AUACGGAGGAUCCGAGCGUUAUCCGGAUUUAUUGGGUUUAAAGGGUGCGCAGGCGGCCAUUUAAGUCAGCGGUUAAAUCGUGGGGCUCAACCCCAUUCUGCCGUUGAUACUGGGUGGCUUGAUUGCGGUCGAGGUUGGCGGAAUUUGUUGUGUAGCGGUGAAAUGCAUAGAUAUGACGAAGAACACCGAUUGCGUAGGCAGCUGACCAGACCGCAAAUGACGCUCAUGCACGAAAGUGCGGGGAUCGAACAGGAUUAGAUACCCUGGUAGUCCGCACAGUAAACGAUGAAUACUUGUUUUCGGCGAUAUAAUGUCGGAGGCAAAGCGAAAGCGAUAAGUAUUCCACCUGGGGAGUACGCCGGCAACGGUGAAACUCAAAGGAAUUGACGGGG
rnacentral:rRNA from 1 species